rnacentral:rRNA from 1 species
GACGAACGCUGGCGGCGUGCUUAACACAUGCAAGUCGAGCGGUAAGGCCCUUUCGGGGGUACACGAGCGGCGAACGGGUGAGUAACACGUGGGUGACCCGCCCUCAGCUCUGGGAUAAGCCUGGGAAACUGGGUCUAAUACUGGAUAUGACUCCACGGUGCAUGUCGUGGGGUGGAAAGCCUUGUGCGGCUGAGGAUGGGCCCGCGGCCUACCAGCUUGUUGGUGGGGUGAUGGCCUACCAAGGCGACGACGGGUAGCCGGCCUGAGAGGGCGACCGGCCACACUGGGACUGAGACACGGCCCAGACUCCUACGGGAGGCAGCAGUGGGGAAUCUUGCGCAAUGGGCGAAAGCCUGACGCAGCGACGCCGCGUGAGGGAU